rnacentral:rRNA from 1 species
GAUGAACGCUGGCGGCGUGCCUAAUACAUGCAAGUCGAGCGAACGGACGAGAAGCUUGCUUUUCUGAUGUUAGCGGCGGACGGGUGAGUAACACGUGGAUAACCUACCUAUAAGACUGGGAUAACUUCGGGAAACCGGAGCUAAUACCGGAUAAUAUUUUGAACCGCAUGGUUCAAAAGUGAAAGACGGUCUUGCUGUCACUUAUAGAUGGAUCCGCGCUGCAUUAGCUAGUUGGUAAGGUAACGGCUUACCAAGGCAACGAUGCAUAGCCGACCUGAGAGGUUGAUCGGCCACACUGGAACUGAGACACGGUCCAGACUCCUACGGGAGGCAGCAGUAGGGAAUCUUCAGCAAUGGGCGAAAGCCUGACGGAGCAACGCCGCGUGAGUGAUGAAGGUCUUCGGAUCGUAAAACUCUGUUAUUAGGGAAGAACAUAUGUGUAAGUAACUGUGCACAUCUUGACGGUACCUAAUCAGAAAGCCACGGCUAACUACGUG